GACGAACGCUGGCGGCGUGCUUAACACAUGCAAGUCGAACGGAAAGGCCUCUUUCGGGGGGUACUCGAGUGGCGAACGGGUGAGUAACACGUGAGUAACCUGCCCUUGACUUUGGGAUAACUUCAGGAAACUGGGGCUAAUACCGGAUAGGAGCUCCUGCUGCAUGGUGGGGGUUGGAAAGUUUCGGCGGUUGGGGAUGGACUCGCGGCUUAUCAGCUUGUUGGUGGGGUAGUGGCUUACCAAGGCUUUGACGGGUAGCCGGCCUGAGAGGGUGACCGGCCACAUUGGGACUGGGGUACGGCCCAGACUCCUCCGGGGGGGAGCAGUGGGGAAUAUUGCAAAAUGGGGGGAAGCCUGAUGCAGCAACGCCGGGUGGGGGGUGACGGCCUUCGGGUUGUAAACCGCUUUCGCCAAUGACGAAGUUUUGGGUGACGGUAGGGGGAAAAGAAGCACCGGCUAACUACGU
rnacentral:rRNA from 1 species